CCUGAUCGCUUUCCGGCCCGUAGGGUCCGCGCUACCGCCCGUGGGGGAAGUCCGGUCGAAACCCGGCGCUGACCCGCAACGGUAGGCCGAGCACCCCGCUCGGCGAGCCCGAUCACCCGUGGGCGGUGGGAAGUAGCU
rnacentral:ncRNA from 2 species